rnacentral:rRNA from 1 species
GACGAACGCUGGCGGCGUGCCUAACACAUGCAAGUCGAACGAGUCCACCCUUCGGGGUGAGGCGAGUGGCGGACGGGUGAGUAACACGUGAGCAACCUGUCUCUGUGCGGGGGACAACCCGGGGAAACCCGGGCUAAUACCGCAUGGGCGGGGUCUUCGAGUGGAGACCCCGGGAAAGACGGCCUCUUCACAAUGCUGUCGUGCAGAGAGGGGCUCGCGGGCUAUCAGCUAGCUGGUGAGGUAAUGGCUCACCAGGGCAGCGACGGCUACGGGGUCUGAGAGGACGACCCCGCACAUUGGAACUGAGACACGGUCUAGACUCCUACGGGAGGCAGCAGUGGGGAAUUUUGGGCAAUGGCCGAAAGGCUGACCCAGCGACGCCGCGUGCGGGAGGACGCCCCUCGGGGUGUAAACCGCUGUCAGGGGGGACGAACCCUUCAGAUGCGAACAGUGUCUGGAGCUGACGGUACCUCCAAAGGAAGCACCGGCUAACUCCGUGCCAGCAGCCGCGGUAAUAC